AAGAGCCGGAUGCGGGAAUUCUGCACGUCCGGAUCUGUGGGGGCCGGGGUGGGAACUGCCCCGGUCUACCCGAC
rnacentral:ncRNA from 1 species